rnacentral:rRNA from 1 species
AUUGAACGCUGGCGGCAGGCCUAACACAUGCAAGUCGAGCGGCAGCGGGACCUUCGGGUCGCCGGCGAGCGGCGGACGGGUGAGUAAUGCCUAGGAAUCUGCCUGUUAGUGGGGGAUAACGCGGGGAAACUCGCGCUAAUACCGCAUACGUCCUACGGGAGAAAGUGGGGGACCCUCGGGCCUCAUGCUAACAGAUGAGCCUAGGUCGGAUUAGCUAGUUGGUGGGGUAAAGGCCCACCAAGGCGACGAUCCGUAACUGGUCUGAGAGGAUGAUCAGUCACACUGGAACUGAGACACGGUCCAGACUCCUACGGGAGGCAGCAGUGGGGAAUAUUGGACAAUGGGCGAAAGCCUGAUCCAGCCAUGCCGCGUGUGUGAAGAAGGUCUUCGGAUUGUAAAGCACUUUAAGUUGGGAGGAAGGGCGCUCGGUGAAUACCCAAGCGUCUUGACGUUACCGACAGAAUAAGCACCGGCUAACUUCGUGCCAGCCGCCGCCGUAACAC